rnacentral:rRNA from 1 species
UACGGGGGGGGCAAGCGUUGUUCGGAAUUACUGGGCGUAAAGGGCUCGUAGGUGGCCAACUCAGUCGGACGUGAAAUCCCUCGGCUUAACCGGGGAACUGCGUCCGAUACUGGAUGGCUUGAGAUCGGGAGAGGGAUGCGGAAUUCCAGGUGUAGCGGUGAAAUGCGUAGAUAUCUGGAGGAACACCGGUGGCGAAGGCGGCAUCCUGGACCGACACUGACACUGAGGAGCGAAAGCCAGGGGAGCAAACGGGAUUAGAUACCCCGGUAGUCCUGGCCCUAAACGAUGAAUGCUUGGUGUGACGGGUAUCGAUCCCUGUCGUGCCGAAGCUAACGCAUUAAGCAUUCCGCCUGGGGAGUACGGUCGCAAGGCUG